AUUGGUGCCUUCGGGAACUCUGACACAGGUGCUGCAUGGCUGUCGUCAGCUCGUGCCGUGAGGUGUCGGGUUAAGUCCCAUAACGAGCGCAACCCCUACUGCUAGUUGCCAGCGGGUCAUGCCGGGGACUCUAGCGGAACUGCCAGCGUAAGCUGCGAGGAAGGUGGGGAUGACGUCAAAUCAGCACGGCCCUUACGUCCAGGGCUACACACGUGUUACAAUGGCCAGUACAGAGGGCAGCCACCCCGCGAGGGGGCGCUAAUCCUAAAAGCUGGUCCCAGUUCGGAUCGGAGUCUGCAACCCGACUCCGUGAAGCUGGAUUCGCUAGUAAUCGCGCAUCAGCCACGGCGCGGUGAAUACGUUCCCGGGCCUU
rnacentral:rRNA from 1 species